ACGGGUGAGUAAUGCUUAUCUUACCUACCGUUUAGUGGGGGAUAAAAUACCGCAUAUUCUGGUUUCGACCAGGAAAGGACUUCGGUUCGCUAAAUGAUGGGGAUAAGUCGUAUCAGUUAGUUGGUAGGGUAAAGGCCUACCAAGACAAUGACGCGUAGCCGGGCUGAGAGGCUGAUCGGCCACAAGGGAACUGAGACACGGUUCCUACUCCUACGGGAGGCAGCAAUGAUGAAUCGUCGGCAAUGGGGGCAACCCUGACCGCGCAAUGCUACGUGAAGGAGGAAGGUCUACGGAUUGUAAACUUCUUUACUAGAGGGUACUGACGCAAGAAUUACCCUUUAGCAAAAAGUCACGACUAACUAUGUGCCAGCAGUCGCGGUAAAACAUAGGUGGCAAACGUUAUCCGGAAUUAUUGGGCGUAAAGGGUGCGUAGAUGGUAUGAUAAGUUAUCAGUGGUAAAUCGGGGCUCAACCUCGUGGAAGCUGGUAAUACUGUUAUACUUGAGUACAGGAGAGGUUAAUGGAAUUCCCUGUGGAGCGGUAAAAUGCGUUAGAUAUAGGGAAGAACACCAAUAACGGCGAAGGCAAUUAACUAUUCUGCUACUGACAUUGAGGCACGAAAGCGUGGGGAGCAAAAAGGAUUAGAUACCCUUGUAGUCCACGCCCUAAACGAUGAGUGCUAGAUAUUGGACAGUUUAUGUUCAGUGUCGCUAGUUAACACAGUAAGCACUCCGCCUGGGUAGUACGGUCGCAAGGCUGAAACUCAAAGGAAUUGACGGGGACUCGCACAAGCAGUGGAGCAUGUGGUUUAAUCCGAUACGACGCGUAGAACCUUACCAAGGCUUGACAUGUUGGGCAAAACUAGGGAAACCUAGUGGAGGUUAUCCUAACACAGGUGCUGCAUGGCCGUCGUCAGUUCGUGCCGUGAGGUGUAUGGUUAAGUCCUAUAACGAACGUAACCCUUAGGUUUAGUUGCCAGCAUUCAGUUGGGGACUCUAGACCGACUGCCCGAGUAAUCGGGAGGAAGGAAAGGAUGACGUCUGGUCGUA
rnacentral:rRNA from 1 species